rnacentral:rRNA from 1 species
UACGAAGGGGGCUAGCGUUGCUCGGAAUCACUGGGCGUAAAGCGCACGUAGCCGGUUUGCUAAGUCAGGGGUGAAAUCCUGGAGCUCAACUCCAGAACUGCCUUUGAUACUGGCGACCUUGAGUCCGGGAGAGGUGAGUGGAACUGCGAGUGUAGAGGUGAAAUUCGUAGAUAUUCGCAAGAACACCAGUGGCGAAGGCGGCUCACUGGCCCGGUACUGACGCUGAGGUGCGAAAGCGUGGGGAGCAAACGGG